UACGAAGGGGGCUAGCGUUGCUCGGAAUUACUGGGCGUAAAGGGCGCGUAGGCGGCACUGUUAGUCAGGCGUGAAAGUCCUGGGCUCAACCUGGGAACUGCGCUUGAUACGGCAGAGCUAGAGGAUGGAAGAGGGUCGCGGAAUUCCCAGUGUAGAGGUGAAAUUCGUAGAUAUUGGGAAGAACACCAGUGGCGAAGGCGGCUCACUGGCCCGAUACUGACGCUGAGGUGCGAGAGCGUGGGGAGCGAACAGG
rnacentral:rRNA from 1 species